rnacentral:rRNA from 1 species
UACGGGGGGGGCAAGCGUUGUUCGGAAUUACUGGGCGUAAAGGGCUCGUAGGCGGCCCACUAAGUCAGACGUGAAAUCCCUCGGCUUAACCGGGGAACUGCGUCUGAUACUGGAUGGCUUGAGUUUGGGAGAGGGAUGCAGAAUUCCAGGUGUAGCGGUGAAAUGCGUAGAUAUCUGGAGGAACACCGGUGGCGAAGGCGGCAUCCUGGACCAACACUGACGCUGAGUGAGCGAAAGCCAGGGGAGCAAACGGG